GUGUUUAUUGUCUUGGAAAACACAAGUCAGAGAACUGUGAGAGAUUCAAGUCCCCGGGAGAGCGAAAGAAAAUCUUAAUUAAGAGAUGCCUUAGAAGGUUUGCAGCCAGGAGGGGAGCUCCAACGCUUACAGUGUCAGACAAUGCGAAAACGUUCAAAGCCGCAGCAAAGGCCCUGAGGGAGCUACAUGACCACCCGGAGGUACAAGCAUAUUUAGAGGUCAACAGAGUAUCUUGGCAAUUCAACCUAGAGAAGGCUCCAUGGUGGGGUGGGUUGAGAGAAUGGUAGGAAGCGUCAAGCAGUGUUUGAGGAAGACCUUGGGCGAGGCACGAUUGACCUAUGAUGAGCUAAUUACAGUUUUGGUGGAGGUCGAGAGCACACUGAACGACAGGCCGCUUACAUAUGUGUACGAUGAGGUCGGAGAGGUGGAGCUUACACCAGCCCAUCACUGGGCUGCACUGUCUACCAGAGCCAGGUCCACUCGGGCAGCAGCACUGCACGCGCAGAAUAGAAUCGCGAUCGGAGCGUUGCUUGACUCCUAAGAGUCAAAGGGGGGAGUGUGUUCCGGAAGUUCCGUUUCUGUGUACCGGAAGUUGUUACAGUUAUUAGUUUAUGAUCACCAAUUAUGUAAUAUGUAAUUAGUAAUAGGAUCGCGUAUCGUUGACCAAGGCACGGGGUGAACUCGUGAGAGGGAAAGACAGAUUGUAGAAAGGUUGAGAGCUGAUUCGAAUAGAGGGGGAAGAAAGUCGGAGAUCGUUAAUUCAGAGUGUCGUUUGGUUCGAAACAUUACCAACACACAUACCACAGUAACCAUAAGAAUAAUUAUAUAUAUUCCUAGCCGUAGUUAGUAGAGGGUCCUAGCUGAAUUUCGAGAUCCGUUAUCUGGUUAUUCAUCAUGUUUAAAUAAUCAAUAUGCUUGUC